rnacentral:lncRNA from 1 species
AAGCUAUCUCUUCGGAUAUGUAUGGAUCUUAAAUUCACACAAACUAAUUUUUCUUUUAAAAUAAAACCAUAGAUAUUACCUUUUCUUGACUCAUCAAAACCACUCCAAAUCUGUCCAUAGAAACAUAACUCCAUCGCUACUCUCCUCUCUGUUCUGUGAUUCUGUUUCUGCUUUUCGGCCAGUGUGAAAAAUCACCCAUCUAUGGUGGUUUUCUGGUGACACCCUAGUCCCAACCUUCACUAUACGAUAUUACUUUGUUUUGUUCUCUCUCCGUGUCAGCUCUAUAAUAGUAUAAUUCUUACCUUUGUUAAGAUUUCUGGUGACAUUUCUGGUGUUGAUGUGGAGUUUCUGGCCAACCUCGUGACGGUGCUCUUUUCUAUCCCCAUGGCAAUGCUCUGUUCUCAUUUUGAUUAUUAAUUAUGAUCAUGUCUUGCUUUUGGGUAUUAUCUUUAGCAUUUUUGCAUGUGGUAUAAAUUAUUUAAUUAGCUUCUCAAAAUUUUAGAAUAGUUAUAGCAGAUAUCCCCUGCAAUUCACUUUGUGUUUAAGAGCUUGCUGUUGCUGCUAUGCACCGCAAGAUUGAUUACUAUGAUUUUAAUGAGGGAAUCUAUUUAUCUAGGUUUGUGUGAAGUCUAUUCACCAAGCAUACGAAAAACUAUUAAAUUCCUGACUUAUCAGUGGCAGUAGUUGACUCUUUAUUAAAAUUCAAUGACAGAUUUAGGAUAGAACAUCAGAACUUUUCAUUCUUACAAUGCAUUACACAACUUUACAAAUCCAUCUUGAAUCUUCAUGGGUAUUAUAGAACUUACAGAUUAGAUACUUGCUUGCCCUUUUAUCAGCAAACCAAAAUUCUUACUAUGCAUUUAGAUUGGUAUAUUAUUAUAGUAUUUAGUGUAGUUUAUUUCAAAUAAAUAGCCAACUAUAUUUAUCAGAUAUUUAAGAAAAAUUUCAAAAGUUAUUAGUAAUUUCAUUUCUCUAACUUUAAUCGUUAUCAAGCAUCCGGUCUAAGGUAGAAGGUUUCGCUUUUGGUGGAGACAAAAAUGAUGUAAAAGAAAAUAUUAACCUUUAAGCAAACAGGGAAACAACUUCUAAGUUCUAAGACUACUCCUUGCCGAGAGGACUGAUUGAUUCUAAUGAUAUAUUCAUGAUAUUCAAACCGAAAUGGUGUAAUGACUAGUUUGAACUUCAAAAACUGGAAGUCUGACAAACCCGGAUACCUUCUGUUGAGAAGUGUGAUAACUACCUUUUAGUAGGCUGAUAUGAAUGCUUGUAUCAACAAUGACAGCAUGGAAAGCAUCAAAAUGAGCAGGAGGAAGAAAAAGUGCCAAUGGAUUAGCAGAUAUCAUUGUAAAUUGUGAAUAUUCAGUGAGAUGAUAUGCACCAAGGUACAACCAUUAGCAACUUGAAUCAGUGUGAAUGAUUAGGUCCCUCUUUCAAUAUUGAUUUUGACACAAUGAAUAUCUAAUUACACUAAAGCUUGUUUGCUUGCUUACAUGUAGGUAUCUAAUCUUUACAUUGUAUGUACAUGGAUCUCCAACAACUACCACAUUAAAGACAAAUCAUUCCAGUUAAGGGAAAAAAGCUUAAGUAACUACUACUUCUAGAACCAAAAUCAUUCCAGUAACCUUAUUGAGCUUAUAGUGGCCUUCUUUAUACACACUUCAACAUCAAAUAAUAAGGAAUCUGCAAUUAAAUCUACUUGUGCAACUAUAGAUGAUGAAGACAAGGAGACAAAAUUGAUUAGAUAAGAAGACUAUAUUCAGAACAAGUAGAAU